CAAACGUCGUCAGUCUGUGGAGGAGCGUGAGAGAAACCACACCCACCCAACCUCCUCUCCUCACCUUCAGUUCUACCUCAGCACCCGGAGGCAGACGACCCACCGAGAGAGAGACUCCAUCACACAGUUGUCAUAUAAGAAGAAAGAUGAACUACUCCCAGGACGCCGCCAUAAAAUAGUGUCAUAUCAUCAUUCCACACCACGACAGCAUAACAAAACAUGUAUCAGAGGUGUGGUACCCGCUACACCACGGCCUGGUCCCCGUCGUCUUCGGUGGCGCCCUCUACAGCGACUUCCUGCCCCCUCACUCCUACCUCGAUGCCUCACACCUCACACCCCGCCAGCUAGCCAACCUCCUCACCAGCGUGGCAGAGUCUCCUGAACAGUACGCGAGAUAUCACCUGUGGCGGCGGUACUGGCAGGUGAUGAACUACCCUCCCCUGUGUGAGCUCUGCCACAAGCUGCACCACGACCACCAGCCCUCCACCCUCGCCUACAGCCCCGCCGCCUGGUGGAGCACCGUCAACAACUGCACCACACUCUACCCGCUCGACCAGUACCCGAGGAAGGACCUCCGCGUGCUGCUGUAUGACCUGAAGGAGAAGAUGGGCGUCCUUGGUGAUAUGUUCCGCCGCUCCUGAUUACAUAGUUUGACCUCCUGGUGAAGUGGACGCCAAGGCUCAAUAUCCUAAAAGGGCGACUAUUAAACCAUGACACCUGCUUAAACGCCGACGAUAAUUCUUUAAAAAUAUAUCAUACUCAUUGUAAAUAUAUCGUGACCGUUGUUGCAUCUAUUACAACUACUGUUUUU
rnacentral:misc_RNA from 1 species